rnacentral:rRNA from 1 species
CCUGAGAAACCCAAAAGAUCGAAUGGGGAGAUUCAUCGUCAGCGAUAUUGGCGCUUGUGCGGUCGCGAUGCCGGAGAUCUCGGUCUCAUGGCACUCGUCCGCGCAUGAUUCGUUAUGUCAAUACUCGUCGGCGUGCACUUCUCCCCUAGUAGGACGUCGCGACCCGUUGGGUGUCGGUCUACGGCCCGGGUGGUAGUCUGUCAUGCCUCGACGCUUUACGGCGUCGCGGUGUGCCAGACCCCCGAUCGUCUGACCAGCUGCCCGGCGGUACUCGCACGGUAUCGAGCCGCAAUAACUUUUGAACUGCGUCCGGCCCGUCGCAAGCGGAGGCCAGUGUUUUCUCGGAUGUACGGACCUAGUGCCGUCGCUGGGCCUGGCCAGUUGUUGGUUGACGGUGCUCUCGGAUUGGCUCUGUAUUUUACCGGUCGGCGACGCUACUGCUUUGGGUACUUUCAGGA